AGCGAACACUGGCGGCAGGCCUAACACAUGCAAGUCGAGCGAAGCCUUCGGGCUUAGUGGCGGACGGGUGAGUAACACGUGGGAACGUACCUUCUGGUUCGGAACAACUCAGGGAAACUUGAGCUAAUACCGGAUGAGCCCUUAGGGGGAAAGAUUUAUCGCCGAAAGAGCGGCCCGCGUUAGAUUAGCUAGUUGGUGAGGUAAAGGCUCACCAAGGCAACGAUCUAUAGCUGGUCUGAGAGGAUGAUCAGCCACACUGGGACUGAGACACGGCCCAGACUCCUACGGGAGGCAGCAGUGGGGAAUCUUGCGCAAUGGGCGAAAGCCUGACGCAGCCAUGCCGCGUGAAUGAUGAAGGUCUUAGGAUUGUAAAAUUCUUUUACCAGGGACGAUAAUGACGGUACCUGGAGAAAAAGCCCCGGCUAACUUCGUGCCAGCCGCCGCAGUAAUAC
rnacentral:rRNA from 1 species